UACAGAGGGGGCAAGCGUUGUUCGGAAUUACUGGGCGUAAAGGGCGCGUAGGCGGCCUUCUAAGUCGAACGUGAAAUCCCCGGGCUCAACCCGGGAACUGCGUCCGAUACUGGAAGGCUUGAAUCCGGGAGAGGGAUGCGGAAUUCCAGGUGUAGCGGUGAAAUUCGUAGAUAUUCGGAAGAACACCAGUGGCGAAGGCGGCUCACUGGACCGUUGUUGACGCUGAGGUGCGAAAGCGUGGGGAGCAAACAGG
rnacentral:rRNA from 1 species